UACGGGGGGGGGCAAGCGUUGUUCGGAAUUACUGGGCGUAAAGGGCUCGUAGGCGGCCAACUAAGUCAGACGUGAAAUCCCUCGGCUUAACCGGGGAACUGCGUCUGAUACUGGAUGGCUUGAGUGUGGGAGAGGGAUGCGGAAUUCCAGGUGUAGCGGUGAAAUGCGUAGAUAUCUGGAGGAACACCGGUGGCGAAGGCGGGUCUCUGGGCAUUUCCUGACGCUGAGGCGCGAAAGCGUGGGGAGCAAACGGG
rnacentral:rRNA from 1 species